ACCAGCACCAAAACAUGCCGGUACUUGCAUAUGGUGGGCUUUAUGGGGUAGUACAGUGAGUGUGAAGUGAUCUCAUAUUGUGACCUUCAUAUGAGCACACAUUGAGUGUGCAGCGUGCUUACACAUUAAGAUCAUGACCCACACAGUGAGUAUCUUGUGAGCUCAUGGUGACUUCCCUUACGAAAAUUAACCAUGGUUUUACUACAGUUAACUUAAAACCAAAAAAGCAUGGUUACUGUAGUAAAACCAUGGUAACCACAAAAUAACCAUGGUUUUGACAACCAUGUUUUUCUAAAACCACAGAACCAUGGUUAGUGUAGCCGUUUAGUGUAGUAAAACCAUGGUCAAAGACCCGAGGUGAGGUAUACAUUAAAGGGUUAACCUGAAGUAGUAAAACCAAAAGAAAGUCAGCAUCUCUUUAGUGUCCUCACUAAUAUAAGAAAUUACUAGUUUGUCUUCCACCCAGUGCAAGCUUUUUACAUGAACCCCCAAACCCCACCCAGAAAAACACAGCACAACUUAUUAAAGUUUAUUUAAUUUAUUUUAAUGUUUGAUUGUUCUGUGAAAUACAGUGGUAAUUAAGUGCUAAAAAUCUACAAGAAUUGAAUUUGUUUCACGUUUUUUUUUUUUUUUUUUGCGCCACUGGGUCAAUACAACGUAGUACGCAUGUGUCUGCAGGAAGAGCCGCUUGUGCGAGUGCUCCAUACUCCAAUCCAGUAGGUGGCGGUAAAUGCACCUUAAGUUGGUUUGCCACCCACCAUUUAAACAACAAAAGAAGAAGAAGAAGAAGAAGAAGAAGCCGCUUGUGCGCAUGUGUCUGCAUCCAAAGGUUACCACGACAAGUUUGCGACUGAGUAAAUACAGAUACUACAGUACGUGAUCUGGAGCUUGACUUCACAUGUUUUGUGGUGAUUAAAGGCGGAGUCCAUGAUGUUUGAAAGCCAAUGUUGAUAUUUGAAAUCACCUAAACAAACACGCCCCUACCCCAAUAGAAUCUGGACCUUCUGUUGAUAGACCCGCCACACACAUAUGCAACCCGGCAAGGAUGUCGGUUAGUAGACACGGUCCUUACUGCUGAUUGGCUAUAAGUGUGUUUUGGUAGUCGGCCCGUCUCCUUUUCCAAAGCGUUUUUCAAACAUCGUGGACUCCGCCUUUAACAAAUUGUGCGGUGCUUUUGGCAUUGUCUAUCCAUGUAUAAUUGUGAUGUUCCAGGAGUGCUAAUGGAAGCUACACGGUAUGUAGAUGUUUGUUCCAGUAUGUUUAUGUGUGUGUACCUGGUAAUUAUCACGUUGUGGGGACCGAAUGUCCCCACAAAGAUAGGAAUACCAGUAAAUUUUGACCUCGUGGGGACAUUUGUGAGGUCCCCAUGAGGAACCAAGCUUAUAAAUCAAACGGAAUGAUGUUUCUUGAAAAUCUAAGGUCGCAGAAAGUUUUCUGUGAUGGUUGGGGUAAGGGUUUGGGGAAGGGAAUAGAAUAUACAGUUUGUACAGUAUAAAAUGCAUUACGUUUAUGGAAUGUCCCCACAAAACAUGGAAACCAGAAUGUGUGUGUGUGUGUGUGUGUGUGUGUGCCAUGGAACAAAUAUUUAUUUUAUACCUUUUUGUGUGUUCUGUUUUUGACUUUUUUCCCCUGAUAUCAAGACACCAAAAUAAUGUUUUAAUACGCAUUUUCAUGUGUUUGUAAAGAAAAUAAAUGGUGUACUUCACUGUUA